AGCUCCAGUAGCGUAUAUUAAAGUUGUUGCAGUUAAAAAGCUCGUAGUUGGCACAAAAGUGGAAUUGUCGACCAACGGACUUUGUCUGUUGUGUUGUACGGUUCUGCUUUAUUUGGGACUGUCUUCAUUGUGGCAUUAGGUUGUCGCAUUGUUGAUGCCCAUCAUUUACUGUGAGAAAAUUAGAGUGUUCAAAACAGGCUUAUGCCGUUGAAUAUGUUAGCAUGGAAUAACAAAAAAGGAUUUCGGUACUAUUUUGUUGGUUUGCGCACCGAAAUAAUGAGAAAUAGGGACAGAUGGGGGCAUUUGUAUUUGAUUGUCAGAGGUGAAAUUCUUGGAUUUUUCAAAGACAAACUACUGCGAAAGCAUCUGCCAAGUAUGUUUUCAUUAAUCAAGAACGAAA
rnacentral:rRNA from 1 species